CUCAAAAAUUAGCUGGGCAUGCCUAUAAUUCCAGCUAUUCAGGAGGCUGAGGCAGGAGAGUUGCUUGAACCUGCGCCUCACCAUAAAUAUUUUAAACCAGAGAAGCAGAUAUUUUAAACCAAGAGGUCUUUACCAGGUGCACCUGUUGACUUCCUGUAGCUUCAGGGCUAUCCCCUACCCCCACCCAGCUCCCAGCCUCGGACACUGUAUUAAUCAUGCUGCUGAUAAAGAAAUACCAGAGACUGGGCAAUUUACAAAAGAAAGAGGUUUAAUAGGAUUUACAGUUCCACGUGGUUGGGGAAGGUCUCACAAUCAAGAAGGAGGGUGAAAGGCACUUCUUAAAUGGUGGCAGCAAGAGAGAAUGAAGAAGAAGCAAGAGUGAAACCCCUGAUAAACCCAUCAGAUCUCGUGA